ensembl:lncRNA
CUGCAGUAUCUGAAGCUAAUUAGCAAACUAGGGCUACUAGUGAUGCUGUUACCAAUACACCUGUAAAGCACUCUGAAGCUGGGAGGAAAGCAUGGCAGCACCAUCUGUAUCAGAAAUGCAGGGGAAGCAGAAAUACAACAAGAGAGGCUUUACUUCAAAACAUGUUGUGCAAAAGGAACAGUUUGGGGAUGGCGCCUUCCUGUUCCAGCAUGACUGCGCACCAGUGCACAAAACAAGGUCCAUAAAGACAUGGAAGAGCGAGUUUGGUGUGGAAGAGCUUGACUGGCCUGCACUGAGUCCUGACGUCAACCCAACAGAACACCUUUAGGAUGAAUUAGAGUGGAGACUGUGAGACAGGUCUUCUCGUCUAACAUCAGUGUCGGACCUCGUAAAUGUGCUUCUGGAAGAAUGGUAAAAAUUCCCAUAAAUGCACUCCUAAACUUGC